GGAUCAUCAUCCUCAGCAGGAGCAGGCAUGCCUGCUGCUACUAGUUUAAGGUUAGAAGAGAGGCUUUCUGAACCGACACAUACACUUUCAUUGAAUACUGUUGAUGUCAAUGCACAUUUUGGGCACAGCUCCAAUGCCAAUGGAUUUCCCCAGAAUCUAAACUUGAAUGCUGAUUUUGUCGGCCAAGGUGAUGAUGCUUGUCAAGUUAUAGGAGACAAUAACAUGUACAAGUC
rnacentral:lncRNA from 1 species